UACGUAGGGGGCAAGCGUUGUCCGGAAUUACUGGGCGUAAAGGGCGCGUAGGCGGCCUGUUAAGUCGAACGUGAAAUCCCCGGGCUCAACCCGGGAACUGCGUCCGAUACUGGCAGGCUUGAAUCCGGGGAGAGGGAUGCGGAAUUCCAGGUGUAGCGGUGAAAUGCGUAGAUAUCUGGAGGAACACCGGUGGCGAAGGCGGCAUCCUGGGACCGGCAUUGACGCUGAGGCGCGAAAGCCCAGGGG
rnacentral:rRNA from 1 species